GAUGAACGCUGGCGGCGUGCCUAACACAUGCAAGUCGAGCGAAGCGCCUUACUUGAUUUCUUCGGGAUGAAAGUAUUGUGACUGAGCGGCGGACGGGUGAGUAACGCGUGGAUAACCUGCCUCAUACAGGGGGAUAACAGUUAGAAAUGACUGCUAAUACCGCAUAAGACCACAGCACCGCAUGGUGCAGGGGUAAAAACUCCGGUGGUAUGAGAUGGAUCCGCGUCUGAUUAGCUAGUUGGUGGGGUAACGGCCUACCAAGGCGACGAUCAGUAGCCGGCCUGAGAGGGUGAACGGCCACAUUGGGACUGAGACACGGCCCAA
rnacentral:rRNA from 1 species